ACAUGCCCAAACCAUUGCAACCUCACUUUUCCCAUCUUGUCCUCCACUGAAGGCACUCCUAUUUCUCUCAAAUAAUCUUAUUUCUGAUCCUAUAUCUCCUGGUAAGUUCACAGAUUCAUCGUAAUACCCUCAUUCUUGCCACUUUCAACUUUUGGAUAUAAAAGUUCUUAACUGACCAACACUCUGCUUCAUACAACAUAGCC
rnacentral:lncRNA from 1 species